CCUACGGGUGGCAGCAGUAGGGAAUAUUGCUCAAUGGGCGAAACCCUGAAGCAGCAACGCCGCGUGGAGGAUGAAGGUCUUCGGAUUGUAAACCCCUUUUGUUAGAGAAGAUAAUUAAGGUAUCUAACCAAUAAGCAAUGGCCAAUACCGUGCCAGCAGCCGCGGUAAUACGGCGGGUGCGAGCGUUACUCGGAAUCACUGGGCGUAAAGAGCGCGUAGGCGGGAUGUCAAGUCAGAUGUGAAAUCUUAGGGCUUAACCAUAGAAUUGCAUUUGAAACUGGUAGUCUGGAGUAUGGGAGAGGUAGGUGGAAUUCUUGGUGUAGGGGUAAAAUCCGUAGAGAUCAAGAGGAAUACUCAUUGCGAAGGCGACCUGCUAGAACAUAACUGACGCUGAUGCGCGAAAGUGUGGGUAGCAAACAGGAUUAGAUACCCGUGUAGUC
rnacentral:rRNA from 1 species